UGGUUGACCCAGCCCACUUUGCCU
rnacentral:siRNA from 1 species